rnacentral:misc_RNA from 1 species
AACUGAUACUACCUGCGGGAACCUGCGGAGGGAUCAUUACUGAGUGAGGGCCCCUCGGGGUCCAACCUCCCACCCGUGUUUAACGAACCUUUGUUGCUUCGGCGGGCCCGCCUCACGGCCGCCGGGGGGCUCCUGCCCCCGGGCCCGCGCCCGCCGAAGCCCCCCCUUGAACGCUGUCUGAAGUUUGCAGUCUGAGAAACUAGCUAAAUUAGUUAAAACUUUCAGCAACGGAUCUCUAGA